rnacentral:pre_miRNA from 1 species
UCUUACGGAUGGGCAAAGAAAGUGGUUUCUUGAGAUGGAAUCUACUCCUGGUGAAGAUGCUGCAGAC